rnacentral:SRP_RNA from 2 species
UUUGAGGCUCCGGGCGACGCAAGUUUUGUGAACCCCGCCAGAUCCGGAAGGAAGCAACGGUAGCUGUACGAGCGGGUGCCUGGAGCCUCAAGGGC